rnacentral:rRNA from 1 species
CCCUGCCCUUUGUACACACCGCCCGUCGCUGCUACCGAUUUCGAGUGGUCCGGUGAACCUUUUGGACUGCGCUAGUCUUGAACUGGAGCGGGAAGUUAAGUAAACCUUAUCACUUAGAGGAAGCAGAA